AUUGAACGCUGGCGGCAUGCCUAACACAUGCAAGUCGCACGCGAAAGAGGGGCAACCCUUGAGUAGAGUGGCGGACGGGUGAGUAACGCGUAGGAAUAUACCUGGUAGUGGGGGACAACCCGGUGAAAACCGGGCUAAUACCGCAUACGAUCCACGGAUGAAAGCAGGGGACCGCAAGGCCUUGCGCUAUCAGAUUAGCCUGCGUCCGAGUAGCUAGUUGGUGAGGUAAUGGCUCACCAAGGCAACGAUCCGUAGGUGGUGUGAGAGAACGACCAGCCAAACUGGGACUGAUACACGGCCCAGACUCCUACGGGAGGCAGCAGUGGGGAAUAUUGGACAAUGGGGGCAACCCUGAUCCAGCAAUGCCGCGUGUGUGAAGAAGGCCUUCGGGUUGUAAAGCACUUUCGGUGGGGACAAACGUGGCGAGGCUAACAUCCUCGUCCUUGAUGGUACCCAAAGAAGAAGCACCGGCUAACUCUGUGCCAGCAGCCGCGGUAA
rnacentral:rRNA from 1 species